UGCACUUGCUUUCAGGGCAGGACCGCGGACGCCCCGCAUCCCCGCAGGAAGCGGGGGAUCCGCAGGAACAGGAAUCGAAAGGCAACUGCCUGGCACGAGGCUGGCACAAUCUGUUCAAGGGACUCGCCUGCCGGCAUGGGGUCAGCGUGAGCGAGAAGGACCUGGUAACAGAUCUCUCCUCCGGCCACAGAGUUUCCCAGAGAUGAGAUUGGUGCCAGAACAUUAUCGGAAAUAAAGGAAGAUUAAAAACAAAAGGUACAAGCCUAAGGGACCGUGUUCACCAAGAGGUUGUGAUUGUAAACAACGAACAGAAGCUGAAGGAGACACAUAGAUGACCAGUGAAUUUUACAGAAAAAUUAGACUUUUUGUACCUCUGAAGUCCGACCAAACACCACCGUAAGGCAAUGCUUCCCUGCUUUCCUUGUUGAUGUUCAUCUUUUGUUUUGUUCAACAAACCUGCAUCAAACUUGCGCCUUUAAUCUCUGAUCGUUCUGGAACAAAAGGAAAAUUAAAACUUUUGACAUUUAAGUGAAAGUGUUAGGUUUUAGACACUGUCUGGUGAACUCGAGUUCAUGAGGAGUGGCCAGUCCAAUUCCGGUCACGAGCAGGUACAAAUAACAACAUGUCAGCACAUCUGUCAGCCAAACAGGUUUUCAAGUUUCAAAGGCCAUGAUCCUUCUGAAGUACGUCCAGGAUGACAGCUUUUAUCAGGGUGCUGAAUUCAUCAUGAUCACUUUCAGAGUGAAAGAAACUGCUCUCCAACACAAAGUUUGGACAGUAAAUAAUCUCCCGUUUUCCCUCCUUGAUGUUCCGCGAGAUUGUGACUGGUGUAAGUAUAGUCCAAGUUACCAAAGCAAAGGGUAAAAAUAGACAAGAUAUUUUCAAGGAUUCCAAAAUUUGGGAUGGAAAUUCUUAGCGCCAAUGCUUUUGAAGAUAACAGGAGAAAGAAGCCAAAAUUCUUGACAACUCAGAGUCAAAAUACUUUUGGAGAUACCACUGAAAGGUUGGACAACUCCAGCCACAGCCAUGGCCAUGGCUGCAGAGAAUCAAACAUUGUCAAAAGAGAAAAUUUCAGCCUUCUGAGAGAGAAUUCACCUUUCCUUGAUCUCUGAUUUCACAUAGUUGAACUUUUGCUCGUGUCUUUUUUUUUUUUCCUUAGUAUAGUUGACACACAGAGUUGCAUUACUUUCAGGUGUAAAACACAGUGAUUCAACAAAUUUAGGUCAUUUGAUUUUAAUCCAUUAAUACAAAGAUCUCACCUGCCAACAAGAGUUUAAAAAAUAAUAUGAUAAACUUCUUAUGAAGCAUCAAGAAAAGAUCACUCCCCACAUCAAGGAACUCAAGAUCAGCAAUAAACAAACUUCUCUCUCUCUCUCUCUCUCUCUCUCUCUCUCCCUCUCUCUCUCUCUUUAGUUUAGGAAAUGCCUUACGGAAGAAAAUUGUUUUUAGAAAAACAAUAGGGAUACACUGCAACGUGUGAGGGCUUGGAGGAAAAGCUAUCACAAAGACUGGAAAGUUCUCUUAAGGCUCAUGAUGUGUGAACCUCAAGCCCAAUGUGCUCCACUCAAAUGUGGCUCAUAUUUGAAAUAGUUUAGAGGUUUUCUUACUUAACACUGGAAAGAAGAUUUUUUAUUUAAAAUUUUAUGAUUUGCUCUACCUACUGCAAUGUAUUUUGCAAGAAUUUUAUCCAUUAUACACACAACGUGAUACAUACACCUAGUAGUAUGCCUGCAUACAUUAAUUCUAGUGACUAAUACACAUGGGAAAAAUACAUGGUUUGUGAAUUUUGAUCUUAGACAUAAGAGAGAAACAAACUUCUAUACCUCAAUAAAUCUUCUGGGCAGUGACUAUCUUCAUUCUAAACCCCAGCUGAAUCAUGGAACUAAUUACAGGUGAGAAGCUUAGCAGCCCAUGAUGCCCAGAGUUCACUGUCAUCAUCGGCAGAAAUUCAAGCUGUUUUGUUUGAGACUUACAUACGAUCUCCGAUUUACUUGACACCUUAAAGACUAUAUUAUAAGGUGCAACAUUUCUUUCAUUUGCUAAGGCAGGUAGUAUACCCUCUUUAUGGGUAAAAAAAAAUUACGGGAACAAAAGAUUAAUUGAUUUGCCUACAUUCUUUCAUUCAGUUUGUUAAUGGUACUAAUGAUGAAAAUUAUGAGUCUUUUGAUACUAGGUUUUUCUUGUACUUCUCUCUAGACCAGUAUUUUUCUAAAUGAUUUUGACUGGGAUCUACAAGAAAAAUUACAUCUCAUAAACAACCCAGUGAAAUAUACAUCAACCAACACUAAAAAAGAAAAGAGCUUUAUGAAACAAAAUUUAACAUUUCUUUCUUCUUUUUCUUUCUUUUUCACACUACUCUCUCUCUUUCUCUCUCUCUCUCUCUCAGUUGCUAUUCUAGUCACUUAGUACACUUCUUUUCUUUAAAACCAAAAUACUGGUUUUCCAACCCUCGAAAGGGGCCCAGAUAUGCAGAUUGAAAAACACUGCUUUACAUUUGACAUCUUCACAUGCUUUUUCUGUUGUCAUUUUGUUCUAUUAUUCAGUUUUAGAAAAAUAAAGCACUCAUAAAGGCAUGUCAAUAUUUUGCAGCAGAACUUCUAGAAAACUACUAUUUUUCUGACUACUAAUUCUCAUUCCUCUUUGGGGCUACAAUCUCAUCCCAUCCAUACCCCAAUGUCCUUUGCUUUUUAAAACAGUGAUGAUAUUAUCUCAAUAAUUAUUCUUGUUUUUAACAUCUUGGAAAUAAUUAAACAGUUGUCAAUUUUGUGUAAGUCCUCUAAAUUUUAUUUGUUGUUGUUAAAAGUUUUGGUUAGUGUUGAAAUGUUUAUGUCUGUUGAUAUUUUUAGGUACUUGAAAUCAUAAUGUCUAAGAGCUAUGAAAAAUGACCCUAUGAUCUGCCUACUGCUAUUUCUGGGCUCUUAUGUAUUUCUGUAUACAUAAAUAUAUCUCUAAAAAGCUGA